GUCUUCGUGGUGUAGUGGUCAGCACGCUUGACGCGUAACCGAGAGGUCCCUGGUUCGAUUCCCGGCGAACAUG
rnacentral:tRNA from 1 species